CACGCGUGCGUCAAGAGGCUACUUUAGAAGCCAACUGCGGUCGGAUGGGAAAGUUGUCGUCACUUUAUCAGCUCAGCUGUUUCUUUUUUCUUUCCUUUUUUUUUCUCCUCAUGAUUAUUUAUUUUUUUCUCUCUCAUUCUCUCUUCUUCUUUUCUAACUCAUUUUUCAAAAAUAGUUUUAUAUGCGCCGGGCCGACGCAGUAACUCUUGCACGAGCCCAUUUUCUUCCAGCCGUUAUAUGGAUAUAGCCGCUGUGCCGAACAUGACUUGGAAGCUUUUUUUUUCUCUCUUUUUUCUUUUUUAACGCCAGGGCAAUAACCGAAAAGGAGAGACUAUGAUUUGUGUUAACAAGACAAAGCCAAAACGAGAGCGCCAACAAGACUGGAGCUAAUUGAAGGGCAGUUGUCGCGUUCCCCUUUUGGCCUCCUCCCUCCCUCCCGUGUUAGUGUAUAGUUAUUAGCGAUCAUCUCUGCGCUCACCAGUUAGUGGCUCGUAUUCACACAACAAAAGAACUGGUUACAAUGUUCUCUUGGCUGGAGGUGGGGGAUCGGCAAUUCAACAGUGGUCUCAACGCAUUGUGUGUCAACGGCGUUUUGUGAUGGGCGUUUUGGUUUGAUUAGGCUAAUCUAGAUGUGCUAAAUAAUAUAUACCAUACCAAGCCCUUGCACGCCCCCCUUGUCACGCCAAAUAGGUCGAUCCAGUUGGGGGGUUAGCCGACACCAAGACUCGCUUCGUGCGUCAUGUAUCUUGAUUCCUAAUGCGCGUUUAAUGACAGUCUUCCGUUACGGAGACGGAUUUCCUUUAACUCUCUUUCUUUUCUAUCUUUCUCUCUCACUCUCUCUAGCUUCAGAUGUCGUUCUUCAAUUGUCGUGAAACAAUUUGACAAGGCAAGACAUAAGGAAAAGAGUCAAAGAGGAAAGAGAAACGCUGCACAGAGUUUUCCUUCCCGUCAUUUCGGAAUGGCUUGAUUGGAACCGAAAUCAGAGGAAACGUACAAAUAAAACCCGCACGUUGUGUGGGCGACAAGCUGUGUGCGUAGAUUGUAUGCCAUACCUAUUGCUCUCUAUUCACUCGAGUCUUUUUUCUCUGUCGUCCUCCAUUUCAGCUCGGCAGUUGCAACUGUGUUUUUCCCCCCUCCUCUUGCACCUUUAUUCGUUCGCCAUAUAUAGUCCGAACCAUUGACUUUCACGGCUGAAAGGCUUCUCUUUCUUGAGUUAUUUGAAGAAGAGGAUCCGGUACAGAAACCAUCGCGGAACAGCCAUCGUCCAAAUUUGAAUAGACAAUACCGCAUUCUUCGUUUCUGAAAACAAAUCGACAGUGUAUGCAGAUUGGACGAUAGCAACGUGACAAAGUUGAUCUGAUGCCAUCAAAAUGUUGGCAUCCACCCAACCCAAAUCGCUAUGCGAAAAACAAAAAACCCAAAAAUGUGAAAUGAAGGAUAACUUUUGUAGAAACUUGACUAUCCAACAACGUGAAUUUGACGCACCGCUAUUAUAACACACUCCAGCGGUUGGAAUGACGCACAAUAAUUUCCGCACGACUUUAAUACGAGCACAUCAACGACUAGGUUAAAGAAAAAAAAAAGGGAAAUAAAAACGUGUAGCCCUA